rnacentral:rRNA from 1 species
GACGAACGCUGGCGGCGUGCUUAACACAUGUAAGUCGAACGGAAAGGCCCUGCUUUUGUGGGGUGCUCGAGUGGCGAACGGGUGAGUAACACGUGAGUAACCUGCCCUUGACUUUGGGAUAACUUCAGGAAACUGGGGCUAAUACCGGAUAGGAGCUCCUGCUGCAUGGUGGGGGUUGGAAAGUUUCGGCGGUUGGGGAUGGACUCGCGGCUUAUCAGCUUGUUGGUGGGGUAGUGGCUUACCAAGGCUUUGACGGGUAGCCGGCCUGAGAGGGUGACCGGCCACAUUGGGACUGAGAUACGGCCCAGACUCCUACGGGAGGCAGCAGUGGGGAAUAUUGCACAAUGGGCGGAAGCCUGAUGCAGCAACGCCGCGUGCGGGAUGACGGCCUCCGGGUUGUAAACCGCUUUCGCCUGUGACGAAGCGUGAGUGACGGUAAUGGGUAAAGAAGCACCGGCUAACUACGUG